CAGGAGCCGAUGAAGGACGUGAUAAGCUGCGAUAAGCUUCGGGUAGGCGCACAUAGCCAGUGAUCCGGAGAUUUCCGAAUGUGGAAACACACAUGGGAAACCCCAUGUACCGUAUAGUGAAUACAUAGCUAUACGGAGGUANUAAGUCCCGCAACGAGCGCAACCCUUAUUGUUAGUUGCUACCAUUUAGUUGAGCACUCUAGCGAGACUGCCCGGGUUAACCGGGAGGAAGGUGGGGAUGACGUCAAAUCAUCAUGCCCCUUAUGUCUAGGGCUACACACGUGCUACAAUGGCAAGUACAAAGAGAAGCAAGACCGUGAGGUGGAGCAAAACUCAAAAACUUGUCUCAGUUCGGAUUGUAGGCUGAAACUCGCCUACAUGAAGCUGGAGUUGCUAGUAAUCGCGAAUCAGCAUGUCGCGGUGAAUACGUUCC
rnacentral:ncRNA from 1 species